rnacentral:rRNA from 1 species
AUACGGAGGAUCCGAGCGUUAUCCGGAUUUAUUGGGUUUAAAGGGUGCGCAGGCGGGAGAUUAAGUCGGCGGUGAAAUUUUGCAGCUCAACUGUAAAAGUGCCUUCGGAACUGGUUUCCUUGAGUGUAGAUGAAGUAGGCGGAAUUUGUGGGGUAGCGGUGAAAUGCAUAGAUAUCACGAGGAACUCCGAUUGCGCAGGCAGCUUACUAAACUACUACUGACGCUCAGGCACGAAGGCGUGGGGAUCAAACAGGAUUAGAUACCCUGGUAGUCCACGCAGUAAACGAUGAUUACUAGCUGUUUGCGAUACAAUGUAAGCGGCUGAGCGAAAGCGUUAAGUAAUCCACCUGGGGAGUACGUUCGCAAGAAUGAAACUCAAAUGAAUUGGCGGGG